UAAGAAGAGAUUUCCACAUACUUAUAAGGAAUGCUUCGUUCCCCAUCUCCAACCGAUGUGAGAUCUCACAUUAUUCUUAUUUCUCUUAAUAAAACCUCAUUUCCUCAGCUGUGUCCUUUUUUUGUUACUAUUUUGAACACACAGUAUUGUGCUAAUUCAAGAACAAGGACAAUCGGUACAAUUUGAUCUUUACUUAUUUGCUUUAAAUAGAAUAGGUGGGUGGGAGAAUGCAAUUACAGUAUGCAUUUUUGUUUGCAUGGUCGCAGUAUUGUACUUGAAUUCACAUUCAUGUGUACUACUCAUAAUUGCAGUACUGUACUAAUCGAGAACAUUAAGCAACCGUCUGCGAUUUGUUUGUUUGGUUGAUUGCUUUAUAUGCUUAAAGUAGUCAAUUCAUGAAUGUUGGCAAACCCCUCAGUGUGAAGAGGCAAUGGGCGUCGAGUUCUUGAAUUUCAUUGCUUCAUUCUGUUAUUUGACGAUGUUAUGUGGUUUCCCUGUCCGGAGCAAGUAGUGAAGAUGCUAGAUAUUAUCUUCCACAGCAGUGUUGAUUGUUUGUUCUUGUUCACGCCAUGAUAAGUUCAACCUUGUUCUUUAGACCUUCAUGAAUUCUUCAUAUUACUUUAUUGUCUCUCUGUUCUCUUUCUCUUCUCCUUUUCUUCUUUUCAGGUGACAUAUUGUUAGGUGUGGAAUCAUUUCUUGUUUUGCAUCUUUGUUAUCUUCUUUGACGAUCUUAGUACCCAAACUUUUGUAUGAAUAUUCUCGAACUUUGACAAAUACAAAGUCGUGUUCUGUGCUAAUGAUGUCAAAUUUUCUUGUAUAAAAUUAUAUUAGCUUCGUGUUGGGACCGAGUUCAUACUCCUUCGGCCAUACUUGCCUAACUGUGCUCUUCCAAUAUUGAAGGACAAGAAGAAAGUAGAUGGUAUAUAUAGCCUAUAUGUGCAUUCUCUUGCAAAAAGGUUCUUGAUCUUGAAAUUUGAAGGAAGACAUGCUCGAUAAAGAAAAAACGUGUAAUCUUCCACAAAGUUGAGGUGGAAAAGCAUCCUUGAAACGCUAAAGGUUAAAGUUCAUUGUAAGAGCUCAAUUGUCAGAAUUUGGUUAGUUCAAAAUUUUCAUUCAAGAUUCAAGUGUUCUCUCACCUCUGUUUGUAUCUUUGUGGAAAAGAAAACAGGUUAAUCAGGAUUGGUCGACAAGUUUUCUAGUUGGAACAGUGACAAUAUCUCAAGCAAGAUUUGAUGAAUAAUUUCUCUAAGUAUCUGACCUUGAAUUUAAAAUGGAAAGGAAGUAUCUUUUUCCAUAGGGCCAUGAAAAUGGACAGCUAAUUCUUCGUUGAUAUAUUUACUUUGAUGGGUUUAGUAGACUUGAAGCAUUCAUUAUAUUAUGUUGUUUAAGGCCAUGGCAAUGGUAUCUUUUCAAUCACUUUCUCAAGUCCAAUCCCCAAGACUUUCUACCACAACAAUGGCAACAUUGAGCCAUGGAAAUGGCAGCCAAACUAUAUGUUUGGUGUUUCUUCCAUCAAUCAACUCGAUCUACGCUAAUACAAGCCGACCAAAAGAAGCAAGACUUAGAUUAUCAUAUACCAGAUCUCUUCUUUUGAUAGGACUUUGUGACCUCGUGAGGAAGGGAGUUUUGGGAACAAAGUCCCCAGAUUUCAAAGUCCCAAAAAAUGAGACGUCUGAAAGAUCCUACUGAGUGACGCACUAAAGCCAUGAAAGUGACCUUUUGGAUUAGAAAAAUGGCCUAUGUCGUCCGACUUCUCCGUCAAGGGAUUCCUAUGGAUUGCAUUGGAGCGUAUAUUGAAGAAGUUAUAGAGUCGCACUAUCAUUGUUUGGACAAACAAAACCGAGCUAGCUUCACAUGCAUUUCUUCAUUUGCACACAACACCAUUGACUCGUGCAAAGAAAUUUGGUCCAAAAUACAUGUAAAGUAAUUGACCUUCUUGGCUAUGCUUACACAAGUCACUCUCUUUGUCGUCCAACAGCUCAACAGAAGAAAUGGUUCCUUCAAGAUAUGGUAUACUUUAAUGGCUUCAAACAGCUAGAUUGAUGAAGAAGAACUAAGUUCCUAAAAUUACCAUUAUCAAGUGAAAAGCACUUGCUAAAAGUGUUAGCGUUCAGCUAUGGAGAAGGGCACACAGUGGACGAAGUUACCGCCAGUGACUACAAAGCAUGCACGACUGGAAACUCCAUAACUUCCGA